UAUGGCGAUAUCACGCUGGAAUAUCGAUACUCGUACGAUCACCGAAGUUAAGCAACCUCGAGUCAGGUCAGUACCUGGAUGAGUGACCGAUUAGGAAUAUCAGUUGCU